AUGGAGACCAUCCAGCAAAGAUUUCUAUAGUAGCUAAAUCAAUCAUCGAAUCUAUGAUUUACCAGACGACUAAAGAGGAAUUGACCAUCACUACAAGGCAAGCUAUCGACCAGCUACCAAGUGGUAAAGGUUCAAACUUUCCCCGAUUGGUAACUCGAGGAUGAAGAAGAAACAAGAUUUGGUGAGAUUUGCUCAAGGGAAUGAGGCUGCUCCUCAACUAGGGCUUGUGUGUUUUGGUGGUCUGAGAGUGCUUGGAGGAUAUCAAGGGCCGGCUCUGAGAAAUGUGUGAAAGGGUCAGAAAAGAGGGUAGCUUCAAAGCCUCAAAAGAAUGAUCGUAGAUUGAGCCAUCGUCAAUAAAGAGAUCAUAUGUCGACAUCGCAGAACCCAAAUUGCUUUCUCUGUAAUCUGAAAUUGAAACCCUAAAAGGAAACAAAGAUCAAGAGAGUUAGGAAGUAUUGUUUGUAGAAGAAAGUAUUAUGCUUUUGUUUUUAAGCUUCUUAUUCAGUUGUGAAAUGGACAAAGAACACUAAC